GUCAAGAUGGCCGGGGUGGUCUAAGGCGCUGCACUCAAGUUGCAGUAUCGAAAGAUUCUUGGGUCCGAAUCCCAACCUUGACA
rnacentral:tRNA from 4 species